UUACCACAGCAGCACUUACACUAAAAUUGGAACAAUAAUGGAAAAAUUUAGCAUGGCACUUGCACAAGGAUGACAUGGAAAUUUGUACAGUGUUCUCAACUUUU